CUCCCCACGUGUGCAAGGACGCCCUGGGUCAAAGUCACAGUACUGGAAUCUGAGCACGCGUCCGUCUGUGGCAAGAGAGAAGCACAGAUGAAGCACAUGCUUUGCUCCUGCACCGCUCCCACGCCUCCGCACUCCAGAACUGAUCCUUGGCAGCCCGGAGCCAGCAGCCCCCUGGGUUUUCCAGCCAUGGAAGCUGGUUUCCUGCCCCAGAAGACCUGCUGUCCUCACACAGACCGGGAGCUCUGGCCUCCUUGGGCCAUCUGCAGCUGUGCAUGCUACUGGAGAGCAGUGGUGCGAUCUUGGCUCACUGCAACUUCGCCUCCUGGGUUCAAGCCAUUCUCCUGUCUCAGCCUCCCAAGUAGCUGGGAUUACAGGCAUGUGCCACCACGCCUGGCUGAUUUUUGAAUUUUUACUAGAGAUGGGGUUUUACCAUGUUGGCCAGGCUGGUCUCGAAUGCCUGACCUCAAGUGAUUUGUCCGCCUCGGCCUCCCAAGUGCUGGGAUUACAGGCGUGAGCCACCACUCCCGGCCCACAUGUAAGAUCAUUUUCUUACUUUCAUGAAAUCUCUCUUCUGUGUACAACAUCACUGAACUAAUUUGUCUUGAUAUGUUUGCACUGAUUCAGAUAUAAUAUGUAUAAAAGCAGUGAAACUUUAAAAACAAGGGUAUUAUAUUCUAGACAAUCUCCA
rnacentral:lncRNA from 10 species